GGCUCGUUGGUCUAGGGGUAUGAUUCUCGCUUUGGGUGCGAGAGGUCCCGGGUUCAGGUCCCGGGUUCAAAUCCCGGACGAGCCC